GGGGAAUAUUGGACAAUGGGGGCAACCCUGAUCCAGCAAUGCCGCGUGUGUGAAGAAGGCCUGCGGGUUGUAAAGCACUUUCAGCAGGGAAGAAAAGCUCGGGGUUAAUACCCCCGGGUCUUGACGUUACCUGAAGAAGAAGCACCGGCUAACUCCGUGCCAGCAGCCGCGGUAAUACGGAGGGUGCGAGCGUUAAUCGGAAUUACUGGGCGUAAAGCGCACGUAGGCGGUCGGAUAAGUCGGAUGUGAAAGCCCUGGGCUUAACCUGGGAACUGCAUUCGAUACUGUCUGGCUAGAGUAUGGGAGAGGGAAGCGGAAUUUCCGGUGUAGCGGUGAAAUGCGUAGAUAUCGGAAGGAACACCAAUGGCGAAGGCAGCUUCCUGGCCCAAUACUGACGCUCAGGUGCGAAAGCGUGGGGAUCAAAC
rnacentral:rRNA from 1 species